rnacentral:rRNA from 1 species
GCGCGAAACCUUUACAAUGCACGAAAGUGUGAUAGGGGGAUACUCAGUGCUUACGCUUAUGGUGUAGGCUUUUGUCGAUCGUAAAUAGAUCGGCGAAUAAGUGGUGGGUAAGACUGGUGCCAGCCGCCGCGGUAACCCCAGCGCCACGAGUGGUUAUCACGAUUAUUGGGCCUAAAGCGUUCGUAGCUGGUUUGGUAAAUCUCUUGUGAAAUUGUUCGGCUUAACCGGACAGCGUGCAGGAGAGACUGCCAGACUCGAGACCGGGAGGGGUUAGAAGUAUUCCAUGGGGACUGGUAAAAUGGGAUAAUCCAUGGAAGACUACCGAUGGCGAAGGCAUCUAACCAGAACGGAUCUGACAGUGAGGAACGAAAGCCAGGGGAGCGAACCGG